GGCUCGGUAGCUCAGUCGGAUAGAGCAAUCCUCCUCGGAGGAUCGGUCGCAGGUUCGAGUCCUGCCCGAGCCA
rnacentral:tRNA from 2 species